AUUGAACGCUGGCGGCAUGCUUUACACAUGCAAGUCGAACGGUAACAGGCCGCAAGGUGCUGACGAGUGGCGAACGGGUGAGUAAUGCAUCGGAACGUGCCCAGUCGUGGGGGAUAACUACUCGAAAGAGUAGCCAAUACCGCAUACGAUCUAUGGAUGAAAGCGGGGGACCGUAAGGCCUCGCGCGAUUGGAGCGGCCGAUGUCAGAUUAGGUAGUUGGUGGGGUAAAGGCUCACCAAGCCAACGAUCUGUAGCUGGUCUGAGAGGACGACCAGCCACACUGGGACUGAGACACGGCCCAGACUCCUACGGGAGGCAGCAGUGGGGAAUUUUGGACAAUGGGCGCAAGCCUGAUCCAGCAAUGCCGCUUGCAGGAAGAAGGCCUUCGGGUUGUAAACUGCUUUUGUACGGAACGAAACGGCUCUGGUUAAUACCCGGGGCUAAUGACGGUACCGUAAGAAUAAGCACCGGCUAACUACGUG
rnacentral:rRNA from 1 species